AAUUUCUCCAAACUGUUCAACACUCAGCUCUCGUUAUUCCCACUCUCUACUGCUCUGAAACUCUCCACACUCUCUAAUCUUUGAACUGACCCAAUGCCGCAAAAAAGGGGUUCUUGUAAAUAUUUCUACAAUUUCAAGGAUGUGGUUAGACUAAAAAGAAUUUUGGAAGGAAUUGGUAUUCACGAUCGCAAUUUCUUUGUAUAAUUUAAGUGCUUGGAAAUUGGAAUGGCCUAGAAGACUGCAUCAAAGAGUGAAGGCUUUGGACUACUUUUUAGAAAGAAAGAAGACUUCAUCGAGAUUGAUUAUUUUUUUUUUAGAUUUAGUAUUUAUUAAUUUUAAAAUAUAUGUAUAUUUGAAAAAAAAA